UACGUAGGUGGCAAGCGUUACUCGGAAUCACUAGGCGUAAAGCGCAGGUAGGAGGCUCGAUAAGUCUGUUGUGAAAGCUCCCGGCUUAACUGGGAGAGGUCAACGGAAACUGUCGAGCUAGAGUGUGGUAGAGGUAGCUGGAAUUCCCGGUGUAGCGGUGAAAUGCGUAGAUAUCGGGAGGAAUACCUAUGGCGAAAGCAGGCUACUGGACCAUCACUGACUCUGAUCUGCGAAAGCUAGGGGAGCAAACAGG
rnacentral:rRNA from 1 species